AACUCUCAAUACAGCCAGCACUGAAUUCCUUCCUCAUUCCACAUCACGUCCGAACUCACUCUUCUGCCUCCAGCACGUCCUCUUCACAUGGUGAGGGGUCCUUGGCGGCAGACAGAAGUCAGACCUCAGUAAGUGGAGCUGCAGGACCCAUCUCUAAUGCUUCCUGAAAAAAACUGACCCAGCGCAGCAAGUCUGUGACACUUUCCCAUGUGCAGAUGCAUGUGGGAGGCACACCCUAAUUUAGUUUGGCUCACUGAUGCCCAGCAACCUGCAGAGAGGAACAAAUCCACAAGGAGACUUCCAUGGAUGAGCAGAUGUAUAUUUUGCUAUGCCCCAUCCUUCCUCUUUCAAGUCUCCAGAUAUUCUUCUUGCUCUUCAGUAGAUAUCGGUAUACCAUCCAAACUCCAAGUCAUCUCAUCAGUUUUGUUUUUAGAUAAUUAAGGGUUGCUGAGAGGUGAUUUGCACUGUUUAAAAUUAAAAGUGUUGGCAGCUCUCAGAACUUCAUUCCUGAAAGGGAAGUACCUGAAUAAUUUAGGCAGUUUUUUGUGAAAUCCUACUGGACGCUGCAGUGCAUUGGCGCCGUCAGAAUGACUCCAUUGAAAACGGUUAAUGCAGGAUGCUGUUAUAAUCAUUGUGAAGAUGAGAUUGACUAUGGUGCAUUUGGAAAAGAAUGAGACCAAGGCCCAAGCAUUUUUUUUUGUCAGCUGUAUCUUCUCACAUCAGAAUCUGGGCUUCCUCCUUUCCCACAGCCAACAUGGGAGGUAACUGCUUGGAUGGCAGAGGGACCAUUUCUGUGGUUGAAGCAGUUACAGGUGCUAACAUUGCUUAAGAAAGAUUCAUUAGGUUGGUGGGAUUUUCUUUGGAGACUGGAAGUCUGCAUUGUUCGUGUUACCUCUGGGAUCCAGGAACUUCUAGGCUGCUGACCAGGCCUCAAGAAAAGACUUACAUUCAGCUUCAGCAGGGAGAAAGCCUCUCAUUUUAGACCAGGUCAUUAGCAAGAAUAUGAAAUAAAAAUAUCGGAAAAUAUUUGUUUUCAAUAGCCCAAUCAAAGAAAUAGAAAUUCUUGAUUGGGGUUAUUUACAUCCUUGUCUAAAGAUGGGUGUGGCCUGGUGCUGCAGCACAUGCGUGUCCGUUCUUGCUGCCCCUUGCCACUUUCUUUUGUUUAACUGAGUGUACAUUUUAUUAGGGAUCUAAUUUUUAUUUGUCUUAUACUGACUAGGCUGCCUUGUAAAUGCAUUCAUGUCCUGCAAGCUUGCCUUUUACUGAACUUUGAUAAAGGCAGAUUGGGAGGGAUCAUUUUAGGAUACAGUGUAAUGGACAGCAUUGCAUGUCACUGGGCUAGUUGUACCCUCCCUCCUUCCCAAAAACAAUGCACACAAGGCCCUUCCAAAAUGUAUGCAUUGCUGGCAGUAAACAGUGGCCAAGUAGUCAGCAGACAUUGCUCCUUGUUCCACGUGCAUUGUCCAGGUAGGAAGAUGGAGGACUUCUAAAAGCUUCUUUCUUUUUGUCAUAAACUUUUUAUUUAUUUAUUUUUCCUUUAAGGAAGGCCCUAGUUUUAAAAAUAGUCACCUUGGCUGCUUUUAGUGAAAAAGAACAAAUGUAUGUAGACUGAAGUUUGUUUCCAGUUCUGUUUCCAUCCUCUUACUGAAACGGUUCCUGAAGAUGCAGAACAUGUGUCAACUCUAGUGUUAUCUUGUGUUGAAGAUGACCCCCCCCCCCCAAAAAAAAAAAAUUAUUGUGGUUUACUUCACUUGUGUUUGGGUUUCCCGCUUUGUUGUAUGUGUAACAUUUCAUUUUCUGAUGUGCUCACACAUGAGUGUUUUUAACUUCCCAUCUGUAGUUUUUAAAAUGUAAUAAAAUUAAAAUAUGAGCUGUAAUCAUACAGUUAGGUCACAGAUCUGUCAAACUGAAGGUUUGUUGGGUCUGUGAGCAUAUACAUCUCACAAGCUUAAUUCCAUGUAAUAGUUUUCCCACAGGUUGUUUCAGGAUGAACAGCAACUUCAUUUCACGUUGUAGCUUUUUUACAUACCUGAGCCUUUUUAAAUUAUGGCAGGCAUAGUCUGGAAAAGGAGUGAUACAUGAUGUAUAAGUGGGAAAUGCAUGAGCCAGUUGUGCUGUUGCUGAGUAUUUGAAAGACCAUCCCAGUCUAUUGGAAUAGAAAAUACAAUCAGAACUGGAUUAGAAACUUCGCUGGGUGGUUACAGCUGUUGAAAGCUUUUCUCCGUUCUUUUUUUUUUUUUCCUGAUAUUUUGUAUACGUAUGUGUAUUUUUCUGUUGAUUACAGAAAGCCCUUCAGUUGUAUAAUGUAUGUAGUGAUUGUCCUAAGUGACUGCGUGGGCUGCACUGCAUUAGGUGCUGGCUUACACUUUUAAUUUUUACCUUUUAUGGAGGAUAUGUCCCUUAUUGAUGUAUUUAAUAAGUGUGAAGUAGAGCUUGCUCUGUUUUAAAAUAUUGUAAUAUCCAGCAAAGCCAACUAUCCCCAUACAUUCCCCAGAUUUGAAUCCAACAAAGUCCCUUGUUUAAAUUACUCCAUUAAAGUAUUUAUAUGUUGUUCUUGCUGUCAAAUGUCCUAGUCCUCUAACUACAUAAAAUAAUUCUGGAAUCACAAAUUGAGGCUUCUGAUUUUCAGUACAAGAAAAGAGAGAGAAGAUUGAGUAAAACUUUAAUUUUCCCAGGAAAUAACAACAUAUUGGCUUAAAGAUGUGCUGUUUUUAAGAUUUCUUGCCCCCACAGCCUAUAGGUUUCUGUCAUUUUCCUUGAAGACAAGUUUGUCCAGAAUUGUUUAAGGUUGUGCAUGCUUAUAAAUCCAUUGUCUUUGCUGGUUCAGAUCCAGUACUUUCUGGAAAGUAUACAUUUUAAUCCCAUUGAGUUUUACCCAUCUAAAUAUUUCCACUAUGUCUUUUCAGAAGAUGUGCUUAAGCCUCUGAGUGGUCUUUCUUGCCUUUACACACACUGACAGAUGUCUGCUCUUUCUGAAAAUUGGCCAUUGUACAGGACAUUGUACAUAAGUUUGUCCAUUUCUUUGUACUGCAUCUUUGUUCAUUGUACAUUGUAACCUCUGUUGAUGUGGCAUUUGCCCCUUUCUGGGUCACCUGUCAUGUUUUAAAAGAUGCUGACUUUUUUUUUUUUUUUUAAAAGAAAUUGUUGGGUCAUUCCCUAAGUAAAUUGUUCUACAUCACAGUCAUAGAGAACGUGCCAGAACACCCAUUUAGUGAAGGGGAGGAGUCUGAAUGUUUGAUAAGUGCUCACUGACUGAAAGGUAGUUUCAUGCGUUAUAUUUUAGUUUCAAGCUGUACGCUGCUUUUUUUCUGAAAGCAUUUACACAAAUGUGAAUUUGUAUGCUGUCAGGAAAUACAGGUUCUUCUGUUAAUGGUUGAGAGGUGCAGAGAGCCAAAGCCAGUUGCCAGGAGUUACUCAAAGGUAAAGUGAUUUGCUUAAUUUCAUGUAUAGGGUUAGAAGUCCUGAAUUUCAGGUAUGUCUGGGUAUUUUAAUAUCCGCUGUUGACGUUGAGAGGUAAUGGACGUUGCAGGUAUUGUGCAAAAACGGAUGAGACAUUUCAAGAAAUGUGCAAGUUGCCGGACAAGAUAAAAAAAAAACUGUGUAUGGCACGUAACAGAUUUAAUAUUUUCACCAAAAAAAAGUUAUUGCAGUUGGUAACUUGCUUGCCUCUCCCUGUUCCGUUGCUUUGCUGAUGAAAUCCAGAACCCUUCCACUGAAACUCAGAGGAAAUAGAAAAGCCUUGUGUUUGAGUAUGGAUGCAGUUUCUAGUCAUCUGAGCACAGAUAUGUCACUUUAUGAUUAAAGGUUGUUUAAAUGUGUUUUACUGAAUAUGUUUAAGCCUUUACAUUUCAUUAAGUAGUAGUCUGAUGAUUUACAUAUUUUCAUAGAGGUCUAAGAAAUCAUGACCAUCUCAGAAUUGUUUGAUGGCUGCAUUGUUACCAGAUUCAGCUGGCUUUGCAUGCAAUACUUUACAAAACUGAAUAACUGCAGUUUUUAAGAUUAGGUAAAACAAGCACCAUUAUUUUAGAAAUAUUUAGGUGUCUGCUUAACAGAGAAAUUGAGAACUGUACAUUUUAAUUUAAUCUUAAAAAGGUGGUAGUGUCAGAAGUGCGAAUGGUUUGUUUGUCAUUGUAGCUCAUAGAAUAGAUGUGCACAUCUGCUUCUAUAUUCUGUCAUGUAACAUGGGUAUAUGUAAAGACCAAUACUCAGGAAGAUGAUAGUGUUCUACUACUACCUCAUCUCCUGUGGCCUUCUGCCCUAAUGUAUUUUGGUCCAUGAGCAAGUAAAACAGAUUGAGACAUUUUCCAGAGAGAAUGCUGUUUUCACCUACCAACUGUUGCUGCUAGGUAGAAAAAUAUCCUUAUGAAUAAAAAGGAUUAUGCAUGGAGAAAUGGUGACUACUACUAGACAUUUGAGCUCCCAACCAUGUAGAGAAUACCUAUACUGACCUGAUCCUUAAAUGUAUGGAGUGUGACCACGUGGUAAGGUUUUGUUUUCAUAGUGCUGUGUAAAUCUGUUCUGCUUAAUCCACUUGUAUUUUUUUUUUUGUAGACCAUUUUAAAUGCAAACAGUCUAGGUACUCGCAGAAUUGCAAACGUUAUCACUUUUUUCCUCUCAUCUUAACUGGGUGCAUCUGAAUCCUUUGUAUUGCUUCACUUUCGGGUGUGGUGUUGGUUAAGUGUGUCUUGAUUACAGUACACAGUAUGUUGAAGGAACUGUAGCAAGGUGUCCGAGUUUCCAUGCAGCCACCUUUCAGUCUAGCACAUUUGUCCAGACUUGAGGGUAAAGGAGAACUGUUGGUGAAGAUUACAUUCCCACAGCAUAAUAGGAGAUAAUGUAUGCAGUGCAUUAAUCACCUGUGCAGUUUCAUUCUUCUUUGUAAACAGUUAUCUUUUUAAAGUAAAUGUUGGGCUAUUUCUGCUGGUCUAACCUUGAUGAGGUUUAGUGGCACUGGACUGACAUUUGUUUUAAUAUGCUAAAAUUAAUACACUGAAGACAUUAGCUCAAAAUUGUCUACAUUUAAAAAUAUGCAUUUGUAAAGCAGUGUAUAUAUAAAAUGUGCUGCCUGUUUUCAGUGUGGACAUUGAAAGGAUACAGCCUAGCUUAUGAACCGCCAGAAACAGUAUAGGUAAUUGUGUACAUGUUAACUUUAGUAGUCCUUCAAUUGAAAAACUUUUGUGGUAUUCUGGGACCUGCAGAGCAAAACAUGAGGAAUCAGUUACCAAGGAAACCUCAGUAUGUAAUAACUGCUUUGUCUACAUGUGUAUCUACACAUUUUGUAUGUAUAGCUAAAUGUAUAGGCACAGUUUUUACGGGAAUAAAUGUUUUAAGUGGUAAAAUGAAAAAAAAUUACUUCAGCUUUGCACCAUUACAUCCUUCCUCAGCACUGUAGCCAGGUACCCAUACAUGUAUAUUGGGGUUCAUUAUUGUACUUCCCAAGUUGAUUUGCUCAGACACAUAACAUCCAGUAUGUACCCAGGCAGCAGUGUUGUUUAUAUAAUGGAAGUUGUAUUCCACCAACAUUGAAUUUGGUGUUCAUGUCUUCUUUCUUAAUAUUUUGCAUUCAGUUUACUAAUCCAAGACAAGAGGUUCAUGGUUUGCUUGUCUCAAUGCUUCAGUUCCAUAAAUAUGUAUGGAUGGCUUUUCUGUUCCAGUGGUGAUGCAGAGUACUGUACAGCCACUGCACAAAUCUGCAGGUAUUAUUUACUAAGUCUCAGUGCUGUUUGCAUUCAUAUCUGUUUUGUCAUAGCAAACCACCCAAGUCUAACGUAAAAUGCCAUUAGAGAGGCAGAGUAAUUGGUAUGCCACCAUGUAUUGAGAAAACUACAGACAAAGCAUUGUCAGCAGUAGCAGAUUCUCACUAUUGCUUCAAGUGACUAGGAGAAUUUUCACUUGCUGCUACCUCAUUUAAAUUAUUUAAAUGUUUGCAUAAUGUAUUUUUAUGUAUUUUGAGGCUUUCCUUUGACAUUGCUUUGUAGUGAUUGUCUCAAGAGGUACUGUAUUGAAGACAGUGUUAAAGUUGUGUAUAUUGGGUGGUUGUGUGAUGAAUGGAAGACAAACUGUUGUAAAAAGCUUCAGGGGGUGUGAAAUUCUUUGGCAAGAGCUAUUCAUAACUUGUGUCCUGUUGAGUCACUAUGAGGAUGGAAAUUAGUUCUACUUUAUAUUCUGUAAUAAGAUUUCCCCUGUCCUUAACCAUAUGUGGUUCAGAGAAAUUAUGUUUUUCAUUUCUGUUACACAUCUGUGUUCCUUUGGCAGAAAUAAACUUGAACUAAAUUUGAGGGGGAGGAGUGCAGUACUGAAGUACUAUGGUUUUGCUGUAUAUUAAAUCACAUUGUAUAUAGUGUGUUAAAUGCUGCUCCUCUCCCCUCAGCUGGAUGACAGGUGGGAUGAUGUCGCAGACUAGUUUGUUGCAACCUUCUCCUAACUCAGCAGGGAGACAUUGCACUGUUGGUGUCCUCAGUGGGGUAAAUAGUACAUUUGCACCUUGUCUUGCACAGAAGAUAAAGGUAUGUGGUCAUAGUGCUCAUCGUAUGAGCACCUUCGAGGCUGCUUGUGUGAAUUUUAAUGUACAGUCAGUCCCUCAAGUCCCAUGUCCCUGUUUAAGAUGUUAUUUUUCUGCUGUUAUUACUUUUAAAUGUUUUAUUUCUUUAAAGAGAACAUAGGUUACCUGUAAAUAUUCUUUUUUUUUUCAUGCUAGCGAUUGAUUUCUGAUCACAUUCAGCUAAAAUGUUUGAAAAUUUUGUGUAAAUAUUUUUCUUAAUACUUCAGCAUUUCUGUCUUCUUCCCAUUGGUCUCUGCCUGUUUCACUGUUUCAUCACUGUGUAAAUUUGCACAUAGUUCUUUGCUGUCAGGGGUCAGUAGCCAGACCUCACCAUAUUGUCCUUGAUUACCCAUAUUGUGUAUUUGUUCUUUAGGUUCCGAUCCUGUAUAGUACAUCAACCCAAUAAAUUAUCAGCAUGAAAGUGA